rnacentral:rRNA from 1 species
AUUGAACGCUGGCGGCAGGCUUAACACAUGCAAGUCGAGCGAGCGGCGGACGGGUGAGUAAUGUCUGGGAAACUGCCUGAUGGAGGGGGAUAACUACUGGAAACGGUAGCUAAUACCGCAUACCAUCGGAUGUGCCCAGAUGGGAUUAGCUAGUAGGUGGGGUAAAGGCUCACCUAGGCGACGAUCCCUAGCUGGUCUGUGAGGAUGACCGGCAACACUGGAACGGAGACAAGGUCCAGACGCCUACGGGAAGCAGCAGUGGGGAGUAUUGCACAAGGGGCGCAAGCCUGAUGCAGCCAUGCCGAGUGUAUGAAGAAGGCCUUAGGGUUGUAAAGUACUUUCAGCGGGGAGGCGUUACCCGAAGAAGAAGCACCGGCUAACUCCGUGCCAGCAGCCGCGGUAAUAC